rnacentral:tRNA from 1 species
GCCUCGUUGGUGCAGUUGGCAGCGCGUCAGUCUCAUAAUCUGAAGGUUGUGAGUUCAAACCUCACAUGAGGCA